rnacentral:rRNA from 1 species
UGAGGAAUAUUGGUCAAUGGUCGCAAGACUGAACCAGCCAUGCCGCGUGCAGGAAGACGGUCCUAUGGAUUGUAAACUGCUUUUAUACAGGAAGAAACCCUCCCACGUGUGGGAGCUUGACGGUACUGUAGGAAUAAGGAUCGGCUAACUCCGUGCCAGCAGCCGCGGUAAUACGGAGGAUCCAAGCGUUAUCCGGAAUCAUUGGGUUUAAAGGGUCCGUAGGCGGUCUUAUAAGUCAGUGGUGAAAGCCCAUCGCUCAACGAUGGAACUGCCAUUGAUACUGUAAGACUUGAAUGCUUAGGAAGUAACUAGAAUAUGUAGUGUAGCGGUGAAAUGCUUAGAUAUUACAUGGAAUACCAAUUGCGAAGGCAGGUUACUACUAAGUGAUUGACGCUGAUGGACGAAAGCGUGGGGAGCGAACAGGAUUAGAUACCCUGGUAGUCCACGCCGUAAACGAUGGAUACUAGCUGUUCGGCGCAAGUUGAGUGGCUAAGCGAAAGUGAUAAGUAUCCCACCUGGGGAGUACGCACGCAAGUGUGAAACUCAAAUGAAUUGACGGGGUC